CCAGAGGGCCGGGCGGCCGCGUCGUGGACUUGUUCCACGCCGAGGAAAGUCCGGGCUCCAUGGAACAACGGUGGCGGGUAACGCCCGCCGGGGGUGACCCCAGGGAAAGUGCCACAGAGAGCAGACCGCCCAAUCUUCGGAUGAAGGCUUCGGCCAGGCAAGGGUGAAAGGGUGCGGUAAAAGCGCACCGCGCGGCCGGUAACGGCGGCGGCAUGGCAAACCCCACCGGGAGCAAGACCGAAUAGGGGCGGCGUGGGGACUUGAUCCCCGGGGUGUGUUCCCACCUGCUGCCCGGGUUGGUUGCUGGAGCGCGUCGGCAACGGCGCGCCGAGAGGAAUGGUCGCCCAUCCCGUGAAGGGUGGACAGAACCCGGCUUACAGGCCCUCUGGUGUC
rnacentral:RNase_P_RNA from 1 species